rnacentral:rRNA from 1 species
UACAGAGGGUGCAAGCGUUGCUCGGAAUUAUUGGGCGUAAAGGGUAGGUAGGUGGUCUCAUUUGUCGGGGGUGAAAGCCUUGGGCUUAACCCAAGAAGUGCCUUCGAAACGGUGAGACUGGAGUCCUGGAGAGGGUCGUGGAAUUCCCGGUGUAGCGGUGAAAUGCGUAGAGAUCGGGAGGAACACCAGCGGCGAAGGCGGCAUCCUGGACCGACACUGACGCUGAGGAGCGAAAGCCAGGGGAGCAAACGGG